rnacentral:lncRNA from 1 species
CCUGCAAAGAUCAGCCUGUAAUUUAAGAACAAUGUAAAAAAAAUCAGAGUGUAGGGCUAAAGGGGUAUCUCUUGAAACCUACAAGCAAAAGAAGUCGCCCUUUUUCAUUUUGCUAAUUUAAUGUGAAAGUGAAAUAGGUUCCUUUGCAACCUUGACAGCUAGCUUUCUGGGAAGGUGUCUAAUAUAGGACAUAAAAUGGAGACAUGAAUCGAUGAGACUCAUUAAUAUUCAUAGACAGCAGAUUAAGGUUGGUGGAAAAAAUUAUUUAUGAAACGGGGGUAUUGUCUUCCUUUCACCAAAAGGAUUUUGUUUAGAGAGGAUUGAAUUGAGUGACAGGGCUAUGACAGAUUAGGUAUGAAUUUGCAGAUUUCUUGGUUUAUCUCCCAAAGAAACUAAAGCAUUUGCAAGCAAAGAAUGUCCUGGGCUGAUCACAGUAAACGCUUCAGCACCACGUGCCAGUGGGUGUAAUGAGGUGUCUCAAACGUGAGGUUCAGAGGCCACGGUGUGAUGGAAAGCACUUGGGAGGAAAUGAAAGAAUGGACUGAGAGUGUGGUUAUGUAACAAAGGAACAGGCUGAAAGCAAAACAGGGCUUACCUGAUGUCAGAGAAAGGUGAGGGGAUGAAACGGGCGAUUCCUGUUUAAAUGUAUACAUUGGGGGG